rnacentral:lncRNA from 1 species
AGCAUGUUUGCAGGGGAGUUUUUCUACAUCGGCAUGGCCAGCAACGUCCACCUCUCUGCACAUUCGUCCCCCUGUGACGGUUCAUAAAGUGCAGCAGUAUCGAACAGGAACAUAACCACUUGCACGAAGGGCACGUUCACUCGAGAGCAGCUUCAGGACAACUUCUCUUACGUCAUCCUCAAGUAGGUUGUGCGGUGAGGUUGUUACAGAACACUGAUGGAAGUAAGAUUCUAGACUGUCAAGCUUGAUAGAAAUGUUAAAUAAACAUUUGAUCUGUUCUAUUCAACAACAACAAAAAUGCUUGUGAUGCCAAAGUGUUUUUUUUAGGUCUUUUUCAUUCGCGGAACAUAAGGCUACCACAAAGAAAGCUAAUACAGAGUUAUAAAGUUAUUGCUGUUAAUAUAUAUUUUUGUCAU